AUAUACAGGCAGGCCAAGGGGAAAGCCCUUUUCUGUUUCCAGCAGGACACACUUGGCAAUGGAUGUGACAUUCAGCACUGCCCAGGUUUCUUCCACUUGGAGGAGGCAAACUGGUGAAUGGAAGGAGGCAAUCCUCUGGCAGUGGGAUGCUAGGGAGCGAUAAUAAGGCAAGUUUGCUUGCUUGAAGGCUGUUGGUAUCUAUGGUUAGAAGCUGGUGGACGUCUCAUGAUGGACCUAAGAGAAACUGGCAGAUGUUGGUGAAAACACUAUCUGGAGAGCUCAUCUCAGACUGCAGCAAGCAGAUGAAGGGUUAAGGUAAAGGUAAAGGACCCCUGGACGGUUCAGUCCAGUCAAUGGAGACUAUGGGGUUGUGGAGCUCAUCUCACUUUCAGGCCGAGGGAGCCGGUGUUUGUUCACAGACAUCUUUCCAGGUCAUGUGGGCAGCAUGACUAAACCGCUUCUGGCACAACAGAUAACUGUGACAGAAGCCAGAGUGCACGGAAACACCAUUUACCUUCCCGCUGCAGCACUACCUAUUUAUCUACUUGCACUGGCAUGCUUUCGAACUGAUAGGUUGGCAGGAGCUGGGACAGAGCAAUGGGAUUCGAAGAGGCUCAGUGGUUUAGACCACAGCACCACCCGCAUCCCACCUCUGCUAUGUUACAGUAUCGUGAGUAGUCAUUGGUAAGAAUAUAGAGGAUCACAUUUAACUUUGUUGUAUUCAUAAGCAAAUCUACAUGUGCUGCACCGCUAUGGAGCCAUAUUAAUUCAUAUGUGAAGUGCUCAGUUUCUCCUUCAUCCAGUACGGACUUUUGCACCAGGAAGCUUGUUCUUACCCAUACUAAUCACUGCUCACGUUCAAAUAACUCUAUUCUAUGUGUGUGGAUCCCCUAUUAUGGAAGCAAACCAGUUACUAGAUUGGAGUCAAUGCAUUAAGUGAUUAUUCAUCAUGACUCAGUAAUAGAGAGUUGGACUACUGGGAAAUUUGGGUUCAGAUUUCUACUCAGCUUUUGGAAAGCUGCGUCUAUUGUAUCAUAAUUGAAAUAAAUGGCAUAAGUAGCAAGCAUGUUGCAAAGACAGAAAGAGUUACUUUGGUAUCAAGUGCUGAUGAAGUUUAUAAGAGUUGUAUAGAUAGCCCGGGGAAUAUAUUUGAAUUUUUAAAGAGUGAAAUAGAUGGCAUUCAUUGCAACUCUGGAUUCAGGAAGGAUGAAGUCUGUCACAGAAAUUUGUAAGGAUAAUAAAUGAUAGAUAAUGUUGAGACAUGAUAAAUAAGCUAUGUUUUGAGUUAAGAGCUUUUCAUCAUCUUAUUCCAUCAGUGACUAGAAGAUGUUAUAUUUUUGUUCAAAAAGUCAAGUUGAGAAAAAGUGAAAGUCAAGUUGAGAACGUUGGAGAUGGAGAAAGUUCUCAGGAAUGUGACAUAUGCCACAAGGGGCAUACGAGAAAUUUUUAAAAUAGUACUCAAAAACACACAUGACAGCUUAAGUAUUAUCCUCUGAGCUGAGGCUGUAGAAUGCUAGAACACUGGGGGAAGCGUAGUGUUGUCAAGGAAGGAUGUGUGUAGGUCAGCAACGUGGGAAGGAUGCAUAAGAAACUACGGAAGUGGGGUUGAGGGGGAGUCAACCCCAUAGUCGCCUUUGACUGGACUUAACCAUCCAGGGGUCCUUUACCUUUUAUAACACACACCUGCACAGUGGAGGCACCACUGAAAAGGCCCUCUCACUCACUGCUAUCCAACACUUGGUGAGGGCAUUCUAAGAAGGGCCUGAAAUGAAGAUGUCUUUGUGGAUCCUUGUGAAAGAGGGAUUCAUUCAAGUCCUGAGGUCCCAAGCUACAAAGAGCCUUAAAGGCCAAACCCAACACUCUGAAUUGAAACAGAAGCCAAUCAAAUAAUAAUAAUAAUAAUAAUAAUAAUAAUAAUAAUAAUAAUAAUUUAUUUGUACCCCGCCCAUCUGACUGGGUUUCCCCAGCCACUCUGGGCAGCUUCCAACAAAGAUUAAAAAUACAUUAAAAUGUCACACAUUAAAAGCUUCCCUAAACAGGGCUGCCUUCAGAUGUCUUCUAAAUGUCAGGUAGUUGUUUAUCUCUUUGAUAUCUGAUGGGAGGGUGUUCCACAGGGCGGGUGCCACUACCGAGAAGGCCCUCUGCCUGGUUCCCUGUAGCUUUGCUUCUCGCAGUGAGGGAACCGCCAGAAGGCCCUCGGCGCUGGACCUUAGAAUCUGGGCAGAAUGAUGGGGGUGGAGACACUCCUUCAGGUAUACUGGGCUGAGGCCAUUUAGGGCUUUAAAGGUCAACACCAACACUUUGAAUUGUGCUCGGAAAUGUACUCAAAAAUGGAAGAGUACUGGCAUAACAUUUUCAUAAUAUCCAGUCCAUUAAUAAUAUUACUGCCAUAUUCUGUGCAGUAUUCGGGGACACAUUCAAAGGCAGCCCCACAUCCAAUGCAUUGCAAUAAUUCAAGUGGGAGGUCAUCAGGCCACAGAUGGUUGAAGCAAUGCUAUUGCUCUCCUGACAGCGUCAUAGACGUUAAGUUGGACAAAAUUGGUAAAAGACGCUCUGAGCUCUAGGAGCUGCUUAGUGAAGGUUCACUUUUCUUAUCAGAAUUAUAACAUUUGUGAGGUUUUCUAAAUGGGUGUUGGACCCCACUUUGCAUGAAUUUGUUUAUUAAAAAGCGAUACUUUUAGCUUCAGGGGCUUCCCUUCAUUUUCUAGCAGCUAAUUCCUCAUCAGCUAUCCGUUUCACAUUAUAAACCAAUUUGCAUCAUAAUGCAUCUAAAUAAUAUAAACACCUCGUUAAUUCUAAUAGCUAAAAUUGCAAGAUGAAUGCAAGCAAGAUAUGAUAACUGAUUGUGAUGCGUUUGGAAAAGUUGUGUUUGGGUUUUUCAGAUGGGAGGCUACAAAAAGUAUUCUCUAGCCACUCGGAUGCCUUUAUCAGUGUUGUUAACAUUCUUCUCUUCAAAGUCACUGAUGCUUGUCCCUGAAGGCUCAUUGCACAAUAUGACUUGAGUGUAUUCUAUGAUUUGGCAUUCUAUAGACCACAAAAUUUCCCUUAUAAUAUGCCUGCAUGAUUACAGCUCUCAGAUUGGUGCUAUGGCAUACGUCCAAAAGGGUGACAAGAAUGGAGCCAUCCUUUCUUUUAGGCUAAUCUCCUUCUGAAAGCAGGAAGCAAACUACAGACAGCGGCCAUUUCAUGUGGGGGUUCCAUUCCCCCUCCCCACAUUUCAGUGGAGUGUGCAUAAGUGCCUCACCCCAUUCUGCCCCAGUUCUGCCCUCUUCCAAGUCCAAAAGGACAUAAAGGUAAAGGUAAAGGGACCCCUGACCAUUAGGUCCAGUCGUGGCCGACUCUGGGGUUGCGGUGCUCAUCUCGUUUUACUGGCUGAUGGAGCCGGCGUACAGCUUCCAGACCAUGUGGCCAGCAUGACUAAGCCACUUCUGGCGAACCAGAGCAGUGCACGGAAACUCCGUUUACCUUCCCGCCACAGCGGUACCUAUUUAUCUACUUGCACUUUGACGAGCAGGGACUGAGCAACGGGAGCUCACCCCGUCACAGGGAUUUGAACCGCCAACCUUCUGAUUGGCAAGUCCUAGGCUCUGUGGUUUAACCGCAGCGCCACCUGCAUCCCCCCAAAAGGACAUGCACGUCACCAAUUGCAUGUCAAUUGGACGUGCCUAAAAUUCAGAUUGCACAGCCCAGCUUUGUGAAUGUAUCUCUUUUCUCUAUGUAUUGUGUUGAGGUGGGCCUUUUCCACCAGGAUCCCAUGAGCUACUUUCAGCAUGUCUGAAAUGUAGGGAUGAAGAGAAAUUUGAAUCAGUUUGCUUUUAAGGUGAAGUUACCUAAUUCUCACUGUCCAAAAAAAAGAGACAGUGGUACCUCGGGUUAAGAGCUUAAUUCGUUCUGGAGGUCCAUUCUUAACCUGAAACUGUUCUUAACCUGAGGCACCACUUUAGCUAAUGGGGCCUCCCGCUGCUGCUGCGCCGCUGCCGCACAAUUUCUGUUCUCAUCCUGAACAUAGCUGUCAACUUUUUCCUUUUCUUGCGAGGAAUCCUAUUCGGAAUAAGGGAAUUUCCCUUUUAAAAAGGGAAAAGUUGACAGUUAUGAUCCUGAAGCAAAGUUCUUAACCCGAGGUACUAUUUCUGGGUUAGCGGAGUCUGUAACCUGAAGCGUCUGUAACCCGGGGUACCACUGUAUGUGAACUGAAACACAGUCACCCUUUGAAAUUUACUCCUAUGGAUUUUGCAAUGACACAUAGUCUGUACAAAAAUGCAUAUACCAGAGGUUUUCAACCUUUUUGGGUCCACGGCUCCCUUGACCAACUACAUUCUUUCUGUGGCACCCCUGUGGGGCUCAGAAGUCCAGUUAUUUCACCCCUUGCCUGCAGAGCUGGUAGCCAUUCACCUCUUUUCGAAUGCCCUCCUUUGUUGGUGGGUUCCCUCAGCCUCCUCUAUUCUCCCCUCACCUUGGGAGUGCUCUGGGCAACCACCCCUAGUCUCUGAGCUGACCCCCCCUUCCCCAAAGAGAGGUGCCUCCUCACCCCCCCCCGGGGCCUGGGAAGCACCUCCUGGUCAGCCCCAGAGGCACCAUUCGUAUGUGGAGCUUAUAGCCAGGGCUGCUACAACAAACAGCUAUGAAAGCCUUUGGGAGGCAGAGAUGGAGGAGAGGGCAUCCGAGGAGGGAAGGAAAGAGGGACAGAGGCCAGUGUUGCCCAGGGCACCCCUGACCAUCAUUCAAGGCACGCUAGGGUGCCAUGGAACACUGACUGAAAACCAAUGACAUAUGCUAAAGUGUGCAUACAAAUGGGUGACCCGGAAACUACAACUAAUCCAGAAUGCGGCAGCUAGACUGGUGACUGGGAGCGGCCACUGAGACCACAUAACAUCGAUUUUGAAAGACCUACAUUGGCUCCCAGUAUGUUUCCAAGCACAAUUCAAAGUGUUGGUGCUGACCUUUAAAGCCCUAAACGGCCUCGUUCCAGUAUAUCUGAAGGACCGUCUCCACCCCCAUCGUUCUGCCCAGACACUGAGGUCCAGCGCCGGGGGCCUUCUGGCGGUUCCCUUGCUGCAAGAGGCCAAGUUGCAGAGAACCAGGCAGAGGGCCUUUUCGGUAGUGGCACCCACCCUGUGGAACGCCUUCCCACCAGAUGUGAAAGAGAAAAACAACUACCAGACCUUUAGAAUACAUCUGAAGGCAGCCCUGUUGGAAGCUGCCCAGAGUGGCUGGGGAUCAUCAUCAUCAUCAUCUGGCUGGGUAUAAAUAAUAAAUUAUUAUUAUUAUUAUUAUUAAUCAGUAAAAAAACCCAUACAAAAUACAUUAUAUCAAAUGUUUGCAAAAGGGCAUAUCAGCCUAAUUGAGGCACCCUGGAUUGCGGCCAAGGUGUGGAGAGCUGUGCAAAGCCCUAACUAAAACCCCCACAUUGAUGUAAACAUGUGGAGAACUGAAUUUAAGAUCGGAAAAAUGAGAGACCAAGAGAAACCAAACUCGACAGAUUUGCCCCUCUGAAUGUCCAGGUCCCUUGGGUAUGUUAGACCCUUUUCUUUUUGGACAGCAGACAUAACGUGCCCUCUCACAAACUGCUUUCAGAAGAGAUUUGCAAUGUGAUGUACAUGCCUGUUUCUGUAUAUGUGGGUGUUCCUUGAGAAAUACAAGCCCAAACCUCUCUUGGCUGCAUGAGCAACACAUGCUCGCUUAAAUCCAGUCCUUGGUAUGUCACAACCCACACCGUUAAUUCGGGCACCCGCUGCCAACAUAUUUAAAUGAUGCACUGUUCUCUGAUGAAUUCUGAGGAUGCCUGUCCCAUGUGUCGAACAGGACACUGAAGUCUAGGUGCAGUUGCAUGCCACAAAAUAAUGACCACCAGAAAUGGAAGUAAUUGGUCCCUUUGCUUGACCAUCUCUACAGGCAGCUUGUAGAUUUCCGGCAGACAGAAACUCGUUUGUACUCUGAAUCCUAGGGAAGGUGGUUCAAAACCAAGCUACAGUGGGGUUACUGAUGUCUGAAUCUUCCUCAAAGUGCCAUAGAAGUUCUGUGGAUAGAUUAACAUUGUAUAUUCCAGGGCAGCCAACCUUACAUUUUCCAUUAGCUCUACCUUCACUUUAAAACUGAACUAAAAUGUCAAGAGAUACAAGAAGGGGCAUCUCAUCUAUCCUCCUGCAGCCCAAGGGAAAUAGGCAGGGCAAAUCCAACCUAUUCGGUUUCUUUCCUUUUUUGCUUUUGAAUUGCAGGAAGAAGUCUGAGCAGUUGGCAUUUUGAAAGGGAACAGGAUAACCUGCUCAGUACUGAAUGAUGGGGAGCCACUGUGAUGGCAGACAGCAGGCAAGAGGUGGCUGGAGCAAAAGAAAUCACAGGAGGCUUGGAAGUAACUUGCAAAGGCUAGGAUUCAGCACGGCCAUUUUUAUUUGCAUUCAGCAUCAAGUCAGAUGUCUGCUGAGAAUUAAGAAGAGAGGGGGAAUUCAUUGUGGUCAAACAAAGGCAAUUGGUUUUCCUUAAAGGAGAGACUGAAACAAAACAGCUGCAGGCAAGGAAGAAUGGAAGCGUGGAAGGAGGCUCCUGUGGAGCUAGUUCCUUUAAUUUUCACAUAUGAGGAUCAAAUGAAGCCAUGAGUUGAGAAAACCGAUCCUGGCAAAUGUCGUUUCUGAGAGUGAAACGUGUUGCUUUGUUUUUCCACAAGGAGAGAAACGUCAGAUUUCUAAUUUGCCAGAGAAACAUAAAUGAGAGAAGGGAUACAGGAAAAGCCUGAGAUCUGGCUGGGUUCCAUCUCAUUCUCCUGUUGCUGUGCGUUAGGUAUACACUGUCAGGGUAUGUUAUGGCAUGUCAUAUUACGCUUGAUAUGAUGUGACAGGACAGUAAAAUGGAAUGCAAAGAAUAUUAAAAUAACAUUGAGGCAAAAGCAAUCUCUAGCCAGAGCUCUUUCUGAUUGUUUCAAGAAGUAUAUAGCUCCCAUUCUGGUAGAUAAGAUGCUUUG
rnacentral:lncRNA from 1 species